rnacentral:lncRNA from 1 species
CAGGAGGUUCAUGGACCAAAGUCACGGUCUAGGCACAGUUCAGAUGUAUUUUUGCACGAUCGGACGGUCCAGAAUGUAGUCGAUCGUGAUCGGACAGCUGUGAGUGAAUUCGAGCAUGAUCAGGUGAUCAGUGGGGCUGUUUUGUAUGAUCAAACGACUCUGAUGUGAGCCGAUCACAAUCGGACGGCCACGAAUGAUUUCAAGCUUAAUUGAAACUUUGUUUCCUACUGAAAUAAUAUUUUUGUGAUUUUGGAGCCUAUAUAUCUCCGAUUGGUGA